rnacentral:rRNA from 1 species
UGGGGAAUUUUGGACAAUGGGGGAAACCCUGAUCCAGCCAUCCCGCGUGUGCGAUGAAGGCCUUCGGGUUGUAAAGCACUUUUGGCAGGAAAGAAACGUCGCGGGUUAAUACCCCGCGAAACUGACGGUACCUGCAGAAUAAGCACCGGCUAACUACGUGCCAGCAGCCGCGGUAAUACGUAGGGUGCAAGCGUUAAUCGGAAUUACUGAGCGUAAAGCGUGCGCAGGCGGUUCGGAAAGAAAGAUGUGAAAUCCCAGAGCUUAACUUUGGAACUGCAUUUUUAACUACCGGGCUAGAGUGUGUCAGAGGGAGGUGGAAUUCCGCGUGUAGCAGUGAAAUGCGUAGAUAUGCGGAGGAACACCGAUGGCGAAGGCAGCCUCCUGGGAUAACACUGACGCUCAUGCACGAAAGCGUGGGGAGCAAACAGGAUUAGAUACCCUGGUAGUCCACGCCCUAAACGAUGUCAACUAGCUGUUGGGGCCUUCGGGCCUUGGUAGCGCAGCUAACGCGUGAAGUUGACCGCCUGGGGAGUACGGUCGCAAGAUUAAAACUCAAAUGAA